rnacentral:rRNA from 1 species
UGGGGAAUAUUGCGCAAUGGGCGAAAGCCUGACGCAGCGACGCCUCGUGAGGGAUGAAGGUCUUCGGAUCGUAAACCUCUGUCAAGAGGGAAGAAACCCUUGGAUUCGAAUAGUGUCCUUGGCUGCCGGUACCUCAAAAGGAAGCACCGGCUAACUCCGUGCCCGCAGCCGCGGUAAUACGGAGGGUGCAAGCGUUAAUCGGAAUCACUGGGCGUAAAGCGCUCGUAGGCGGUUUUGUAAGUCAGAGGGGAAAGCCCGCGGCUUAACCGGGGAACUGCAGUUGAUACUGCCAGACUUGAGUGUCGGCGAGGGUGGCGGAAUUCCGGGUGUAGGAGUGAAAUCCGUAGAUAUCCGGAGGAACACCAGUGGCGAAGGCGGCCACCUGGACGACAACUGACGCUGAGGAGCGAAAGCGUGGGGAGCAAACA